UACGUAGGGGGCAAGCGUUGUCCGGAUUUAUUGGGCGUAAAGAGCGUGUAGGCGGCCAGGUAGGUCCGGUGUGAAAACUCGAGGCUCAACCUCGAGACGCCGAUGGAAACCAUCUGGCUAGAGUCCGGAAGAGGAGAGUGGAAUUCCCGGUGUAGCGGUGAAAUGCGCAGAUAUCGGGAAGAACACCCGUGGCUAAGGCGGCUCUCUAGUACGGUACUGACGCUGAGACGCGAAAGCGUGGGGAGCGAACAGG
rnacentral:rRNA from 1 species